rnacentral:rRNA from 1 species
ACUCAAUAGAUACCCAGGUAGUCCUGGCCCUAAACGAUGUCUACUAGAUCGUGGCGGCACUGACGCCGUCAUGGUCGAAGCAAAAGUGUUAAGUAGACCGCCUGGGAAGUACGGUCGCAAGGCUAAAACUCAAAGAAAUUGACGGGGGCUCACACAAGCGGUGGAGCAUGUGGUUCAAUUCGAAGCAACGCGAAGAACCUUACCUGGGCUUGACAUGCUAGGAUUAUCUUGAUGAAAGUCGAGUAGGCCCCGCAAGGGGUACAACUAGUACAGGUGCUGCAUGGCUGUCGUCAGCUCGUGUCGUGAGAUGUCGGGUUAAGUCCCUUAACGAGCGAAACCUUUGCCCUUAGUUGCCAUCGGGUUAUGCCGGGCACUCUAAGGGGACUGCCGGUGUCAAACCGGAGGAAGGUGGAGAUGACGUCAAGUCCUCAUGGCCUUUAUGCCCAGGGCUACACACGUGCUACAAUGGCGUCCACAAAGCGAGCCGAGAGCGCAAGCUGGAGGAAAUCGCAGAAAUGACGCCCCAGUUC